UGAGGAGUGGCUUCCGGAGCUAACGCGUUAAGUCGACCGCCUGGGGAGUACGGCCGCAAGGUUAAAACUCAAAUGAAUUGACGGGGGCCCGCACAAGCGGUGGAGCAUGUGGUUUAAUUCGAUGCAACGCGAAGAACCUUACCUACUCUUGACAUCCAGAGAAUUUAGCAGAGAUGCUUUAGUGCCUUCGGGAACUCUGAGACAGGUGCUGCAUGGCUGUCGUCAGCUCGUGUUGUGAAAUGUUGGGUUAAGUCCCGCAACGAGCGCAACCCUUAUCCUUUGUUGCCAGCACGUAAUGGUGGGAACUCAAAGGAGACUGCCGGUGAUAAACCGGAGGAAGGUGGGGAUGACGUCAAGUCAUCAUGGCCCUUACGAGUAGGGCUACACACGUGCUACAAUGGCGCAUACAAAGAGAAGCGACCUCGCGAGAGCAAGCGGACCUCAUAAAGUGCGUCGUAGUCCGGAUUGGAGUCUGCAACUCGACUCCAUGAAGUCGGAAUCGCUAGUAAUC
rnacentral:rRNA from 1 species